GCGCGAAAACUCUACAAUGCAGGCAACUGCGAUAGGGGAACAUCGAGUGGCACCCACCAUGGGUGUCUGUCCAGCCGUCUAAAAAACGGCUGUUAGCAAGGGCCGGGCAAGACCGGUGCCAGCCGCCGCGGUAAUACCGGCGGCUCGAGUGGUGGCCGAUAUUAUUGAGUCUAAAGGGUCCGUAGCCGGCUUUGCAAGUCCCCUGGGAAAUCCAGCGGCUUAACCGUUGGGCUUUCAUGGGAUACUACAUUGCUUGGGACUGGGAGAGGUAGGAGGUACUCAGGGGGUAGGGGUGAAAUCCUGUAAUCCUCUGGGGACCACCGGUGGCGAAGGCGUCCUACCAGAACAGGUCCGACGGUGAGGGACGAAAGCUAGGGGCACGAACCGGAUUAGAUACCCGGGUAGUCCUAGCCGUAAACGAUGCUCGCUAGGUGUCACGGCAGUCGUGAAUUGUCGUGGUGCCGUAGGGAAGCCGUGAAGCGAGCCACUUGGGAAGUACGACCACAAGGUUGAAACUUAAAGGAAUUGGCGGGGGAGCAC
rnacentral:rRNA from 1 species